CAUUGCUCUGAUCACCAGAGGAUCAGCUUUGAGAGAAGGAUCAGCUCGGUCCUCUGGAGCUUCUGAUUCCCGCCUUUCCGUCAUCCUCUCCCAGAAACAAUGCAGUUCACGAGUUACAUCGUGGCCGUCCAGCUCUGCGUCCUU
rfam:Otolemur garnettii contig139897, whole genome shotgun sequence.